AGGGUGUGGACCAGACAAAAACCUCAUGCUUCGUUGGCGACGGCUCUCUUGAACUCGAAGCCUUUUAAGAGUCAAGCAACAGAGUACGGUCUCAGAAAAGAAGGGGAAGCAAGAGACAAAUUUCGAAAGAAGCAUCAUGUUCAAGUGAUGCAGGUUGGAACGACUAUGCAUCCCGUGCAGAACUGGCUAUCAUGCAGUCCCGAUGGCAUCGUCGAAAUAUACAAUGAGACCCACCUGCUCGAGAUCA